rnacentral:rRNA from 1 species
UACGUAGGUGGCAAGCGUUGUCCGGAUUUACUGGGUGUAAAGGGCGUGCAGCCGGAGAGACAAGUCAGAUGUGAAAUCCACGGGCUCAACCCGUGAACUGCAUUUGAAACUGUUUCCCUUGAGUGUCGGAGAGGUAAUCGGAAUUCCUUGUGUAGCGGUGAAAUGCGUAGAUAUAAGGAAGAACACCAGUGGCGAAGGCGGAUUACUGGACGAUAACUGACGGUGGGGCGCGAAAGCGUGGGGAGCAAACAGG